AUUGAAACACCAGUUCCCAUACAAUCACCGAAGUUAAGCAAUAUUGAGCCCAUCAGUACCUAGAUGGGUGAUUGCUUGAGAAUAUCGGGUGCUGUAAG